ensembl:lncRNA
CGGAUCCCAGGAAACCCUCCCCGGGGGCCUGUCCAAAACCCCCGCUGCUGUGAGGCCACUCCCACCCCCACUCGGGACCCAGCUCUCAGGGAACAUUCUGAUGAGGACCAUCUAUGUCUGAGUGUAAACUUUCACUCAGACUGAGUGCCCAGUCUCCAGUCGUGUCCAGCUCUUUGUGACCCUGUGGACUGUAGCCCACCAGGCUCCUCUGUCCAUGGGGACUCUCCAGGCAAGAAUACUGGAGUGGGUCGCCAUGCCUGCCUCCAGGGGGUCUUCCCCACCCAGGGAUCGAACCGAGUUCUCCUAAAUCUGCAUUGGCAUGCAGGUUCUUUACCACUAGCGCCACCUGGACUCUGGGCUGCAGGAUACUAAAGCUAGAUCAGCUCUCCUUCCCGUCUGCAGGCCAUACCUGCAAAGCCCCCUUCCCAGGUAACAUGACAUAUCUCUCGGUUCCAGGAAUUAGGAUGGAGGCAUCUUUGGGAACCUUUAUCCAGUCAGCAACAGGGGGUGGUCCCGUGAGCAGAUUGGCUGUCAGAGAAUGCAGGGGGUGCCCACUGGCCUGCCCCUUUUGGACAAGCAGGUCUGAGUGGGCAGCAUCUGCCUAGCAGAGGGAGGCCCAGCUUCCCAAUGUGUCUGUUCUGAGACAGCAGGUCUUCCUGUCCAGGCAGUGCCUGUGAGAGGAGGGAGGAGACAGGGUGAAUGGCGAGUGGUUCCUUCAUAUGUUUCUUCCAAGUGAGCCUUGCGGUGGUCCCAGUGGGCAGGGCGGAGGCUGGGCGGUCCUGGGCCUCUUUGACCUGCAGGUGGCUGUCCCUGAGAGCCUGCAGGUGAUGAGGACACCACAGAGACGGAAGUGGUGGCACCUCAGUGUCUGCAGAGGCCCCCCGGAGGAAUAAUAGUCGUUCCCCCUUGUCCGCCACUUGGAGUGGCUGGGUCCUCCCACCAGGGGUCGGGACCAAUCGGUUGCACCUGCGUUCAUCACGCGCGCACUCGGGCAGAGCAAGAAAUAGGGCUGUCUAUCCGGUGUGAGCCGCUGCCCUGUGGGUGCCUGGCUUCGAGUCUGGGGCACAGAGGAGAGUAGAAGGGGGCCUCAGCCCCCACAGUGGAGGGCUCCAGCUGGGGGUAGCAGGGCAGUGAAGGGGGCCUCAGCCCCUACAGUGGAGGACUCCAGCUG